GCGUGGCGCAGUGGUUUGAGCGCCGGACUAAGACUCUGGAGAUCGGGGUUCGCAGGUUCGAUUCCCACCUCCA